rnacentral:rRNA from 1 species
UACGGGGGGGGCAAGCGUUGUUCGGAAUUACUGGGCGUAAAGGGCGCGUAGGCGGGUGGACAAGUCUCUCGUGAAAGCCCACGGCUCAACCGUGGAAUUGCGGGAGAUACUGUCUGGCUUGAGUCCGGGAGAGGAGGGUGGAAUUCCCAGUGUAGCGGUGAAAUGGGUAGAUAUUGGGAGGAACACCGGUGGCGAAGGCGGCUCUCUGGACAGGUACUGACGCUGAGGCGCGAAAGCUACGGGAGCAAACGGG